GAUGAACGCUGGCGGCGUGCCUAAUACAUGCAAGUCGAGCGAACAGACGAGGAGCUUGCUCCUCUGACGUUAGCGGCGGACGGGUGAGUAACACGUGGAUAACCUACCUAUAAGACUGGGAUAACUUCGGGAAACCGGAGCUAAUACCGGAUAAUAUAUUGAACCGCAUGGUUCAAUAGUGAAAGACGGUUUUGCUGUCACUUAUAGAUGGAUCCGCGCCGCAUUAGCUAGUUGGUAAGGUAACGGCUUACCAAGGCGACGAUGCGUAGCCGACCUGAGAGGGGUGAGCGCCCACCUGAGACCGGAACCCGGCCCCAGCCCCCUCGGGGGGGAGCAAGAGGGGAUUCUCCCGAAAGGGGCGAAGCCCGGAGGGACCACCCCCGGGUGGGGAAUAAAGUUUUUCGUAUCUAAAAGCUUUUUUAUUAGGAAAAAAAAAAUGUGUAAGUAACUAGGCACUUCUGGACGGACCCUAAUCAAAAGCCCACGCCAACCCCGGGC
rnacentral:rRNA from 1 species